GUCUGCCUAGUCUAGUGGUAAUGACACUCUCCGGGUAUCCAAUACGACUGACUAUCAGUCUAUUAGUCGUGGACCGAGAGAGUAACCUGGGUUCGAUUCCCAGGGCAGGCA